rnacentral:rRNA from 1 species
AUUGAACGCUGGCGGCAGGCCUAACACAUGCAAGUCGAGCGAGCGGCGGACGGGUGAGUAAUGUCUGGGGACUGCCCGAUAGAGGGGGAUAACUACUGGAAACGGUAGCUAAUACCGCAUACUAUCGGAUAACCCAUAUGGGAUUAGCUAGUAGGUGAGGUAAUGGCUCACCUAGGCGACGAUCCCUAGCUGGUCUGAGAGGAUGAUCAGCCAAACUGGGACUGAGAAACGGACAAGACUCCUACGGAGGCAGCAGUGGGGAAUAUUGCAAAAUGGGCGAAAGCCGGAUGCAGCCAUGCCGCGUGUAUGAAGAAGGCCCUAGGGUUGUAAAGUACUUUCAGUCGGGAGGAGUUAACGACAGAAGAAGCACCGGCUAACUCCGUGCCAGCCGCCGCGGUAAUUC